CCGGUCCAAUAAUCAUUCCGCAAGAAUGAGCGGUAUAGUUUGAAAACUUACCAAAGUUAUCUGGUGGAUGUCGGUACGUUGGUGAGCAGCCGUCGCACAUAGGUCUGAUGUACCUAUGGAAAGUUAUUAUUGGAUCAGUCAUAAUAUUACGUUGAGAAGUUAUCUGUCCAUAAACUUAUUUUCAGAUUUGUAGGCCAAUUCCGUUGCCAUUUUUUAAUCAUUCUUUGUUUUUAUUAAGGUUGAGGUGUAACAGCAUUUUAGGGGCUAUUGUAAUUCCCACUUCCAGGACCUUAUCAUACAUACAGCCGACAGCCCGAUGACCUACAUUUUUGUGUAUUCUGGUCUACCCUAUGAUGGCCGUGGAGUAACGAUCACGUCACCGUUUAUCAGAUUGCCCAGUUUGAAAGAGUCUCCAACAAUUUCAUCGGAUAGGUACGCCAUAAACCGUGGCAUAGCGCUGGGCCAGCAUCAUUUUGUCCGGAUCAAUAUCUACAAAAAUGACGUCCCAAUAUUAUUAGAAGCUAAUAAUAUAGUGUCUUUGUCGAACAGUCAGCUGUACGAAGUUUCCGCUGUGCCACAAAACGGGUCGACGCCGGUCGCUGAACAUGGGAAGUCCUCAAGUCCACCCAGCAUCGUAUUGAUGAAUCAACAAUACAUCUUACAUCUUACAUCUAUCAUUGCAAUCUUAUAAUUAUUCACCUGAAUGCAUGUAAUCCUGAAUGUACAGUUAAUUUAUUACUACCCAUCUACAAAGUCAACACUGUAUUAA